rnacentral:rRNA from 2 species
UGGGGAAUAUUGCGCAAUGGGGGAAACCCUGACGCAGCAACGCCGCGUGAAGGAUGAAGGUUUUCGGAUUGUAAACUUCUUUGAUGAGGGACGAACACAAUGACGGUACCUCAAAAACAAGCCACGGCUAACUACGUGCCAGCAGCCGCGGUAAUACGUAGGUGGCGAGCGUUGUCCGGAAUUACUGGGUGUAAAGGGCGCGUAGGCGGGUCUGCAAGUCAGAUGUGAAAUACCGGGGCUUAACCCCGGGGCUGCAUUUGAAACUGCAGGUCUUGAGUGAUGGAGAGGCAAGCGGAAUUCCUAGUGUAGCGGUGAAAUGCGUAGAUAUUAGGAGGAACACCAGUGGCGAAGGCGGCUUGCUGGACAUUAACUGACGCUGAGGCGCGAAAGCGUGGGGAGCAAACGGG